CCUACGGGCGGCAGCAGUGAGGAAUAUUGGUCAAUGGCCGAGAGGCUGAACCAGCCAAGUCGCGUGAGGGCAGACGGCCCUACGGGUUGUAAACCUCUUUUGUCGGGGAGCAAAGCGAGUCACGUGUGACUCAUUGAAAGUACCCGAAAAAAAAGAAUCGGCUAACUCCGUGCCAGCAGCCGCGGUAAUACGGGGGAUGCGAGAGUUAUCCGGAUUUAUUGGGUGUAAAGGGUGUGCAGGCGGAAGUGCAAGUCAGCGGUCAAAUUGCUGGGCUCAACCCCGUACUGCCGUUGAACCUGCAUCCCUUGAGUGCGCGAGAAUUAUGCGGAAUGCGUGGUGUAGCGGUGAAAUGCAUAGAUAUCACGCAGAACUCCGAUUGCGAAGGCAGCAUACCGGCGCGCAACUGACGCUCAUGCACGAAAGCGUGGGUAUCGAACAGGAUUAGAUACCCGAGUAGUC
rnacentral:rRNA from 1 species